rnacentral:rRNA from 1 species
GACGAACGCUGGCGGCGCGCCUAACACAUGCAAGUCGAACGAGCGAGCGAGAGCUUGCUUUCUCAAGCGAGUGGCGAACGGGUGAGUAACGCGUGAGGAACCUGCCUCAAAGAGGGGGACAACAGUUGGAAACGACUGCUAAUACCGCAUAAGCCCACGACCCGGCAUCGGGUAGAGGGAAAAGGAGCAAUCCGCUUUGAGAUGGCCUCGCGUCCGAUUAGCUAGUUGGUGAGGUAACGGCCCACCAAGGCGACGAUCGGUAGCCGGACUGGGAGGUUGAACGGCCACAUUGGGACUGAGACACGGCCCAGACUCCUACGGGAGGCAGCAGUGGGGAAUAUUGCACAAUGGGGGAAACCCUGAUGCAGCGACGCCGCGUGGAGGAAGAAGGUCUUCGGAUUGUAAACUCCUGUUGUGGAGGAAGAUAAUGACGGUACUCAACAAGGAAGUGACGGCUAACUACGUG